GACGAACGCUGGCGGCGUGCUUAACACAUGCAAGUCGAACGGAAAGGCCUUUUCGGAGGUACUCGAGUGGCGAACGGGUGCGUAACACGUGGGUGAUCUGCCCUGCACUCUGGGAUAAGCCUGGGAAACUGGGUCUAAUACCGGAUAGGACCGCACUUUAGUGUGUGUGGUGGAAAGUUUUUUCGGUGUAGGAUGAGCCCGCGGCCUAUCAGCUUGUUGGUGGGGUAAUGGCCUACCAAGGCGGCGACGGGUAGCCGGACUGAGAGGUUGGUCGGCCACAUUGGGACUGAGAUACGGCCCAGACUCCUACGGGAGGCAGCAGUGGGGAAUAUUGCACAAUGGGCGCAAGCCUGAUGCAGCGACGCCGCGUGGGGGAUGACGGCCUUCGGGUUGGAAACUCCUUUCGCCAGGGACGAAGCGUUUUGUGACGGUACCUGGAGAAGAAGCACCGGCUAACUACGUG
rnacentral:rRNA from 1 species